UCAUCGUCUGGUGGUUAGGACGUCACGUUGCGGCCGUGACAACCCCAGUUCAAAUCCGGGUAGCGACUAU
rnacentral:tRNA from 1 species